rnacentral:ncRNA from 1 species
GUUCACCCGCCAAUAGGGAACGUGAGCUGGGUUUAGACCGUCGUGAGACAGGUUAGUUUUACCCUACUGACAAAGUAGAUACUGCGACAGUAGUCGAAGUUAGUACGAGAGGAACACUUCGUCCAGAUACUUGGUUAAUGCCGUUGUCUGAAAAGACAGUACGGCGAAGCUACCAUCUGCUGGAUUACGGCUGAACGCCUCUAAGCCGGAAUCCAUGCUGGAUAAGCAGUGUUGUACACCGUGCUCAAUGCUACAAGAAAAAGGCUAGGUCAGGCUUCGGCCUGACCAAAAUUCAAGCUGCUAUACCUCUGGCUGCAUUGACUUGUGGUCAGAGUGUAUGGUGAUCAUAGCAAUUGCAAGUAUUGGGCUCGAUAAAUCCUUUGAAGACGACUUAAUUGCAUCCGGGUAUUGUAAGUGUUGAGAGUAGGCUUAGUCUUACGAUCCACUGAGAUUCAUCCCGUGUUGCGCCGAUUUGU